rnacentral:rRNA from 2 species
CCCGGAUGUUAGCGGCGGACGGGUGAGUAACACGUGGGUAACCUGCCUGUAAGACUGGGAUAACUCCGGGAAACCGGAGCUAAUACCGGAUAGUUCCUUGAACCGCAUGGUUCAAGGAUGAAAGACGGUUUCGGCUGUCACUUACAGAUGGACCCGCGGCGCAUUAGCUAGUUGGUGGGGUAAUGGCUCACCAAGGCAACGAUGCGUAGCCGACCUGAGAGGGUGAUCGGCCACACUGGGACUGAGACACGGCCCAGACUCCUACGGGAGGCAGCAGUAGGGAAUCUUCCGCAAUGGACGAAAGUCUGACGGAGCAACGCCGCGUGAGUGAUGAAGGUUUUCGGAUCGUAAAGCUCUGUUGUUAGGGAAGAACAAGUGCGAGAGUAACUGCUCGCACCUUGACGGUACCUAACCAGAAAGCCACGGCUAACUACGUGCCAGCAGCCGCGGUAAUACGUAGGUGGCAAGCGUUGUCCGGAAUUAUUGGGCGUAAAGGGCUCGCAGGCGGUUUCUUAAGUCUGAUGUGAAAGCCCCCGGCUCAACC